rnacentral:rRNA from 1 species
GAUGAACGCUGGCGGCGUGCCUAAUACAUGCAAGUCGAGCGAACGGACGCUAAUCUUGCUUCUCUGAUGUUAGCGGCGGACGGGUGAGUCACACGUGGAUAACCUCCCUAUAUUACUGGUAUAACUUCGGGAAACCGGCUCUUAUCCCGGAUAAUCUUUUGCACCGCAUUGUUCAAAAGUGAAUUACGGUCUUUCUGUCUCUUAUCGCUGCAUCCGCGCUGCAUUAGCUAGUUGGUAAGGUAACGGCUUACCAAGGCAACGAUGCAUAGCCGACCUGAGAGGGUGAUCGGCCACACUGGAACGGAGACACGGUCCAGACUCCUACGGGAGGCAGCAGUAGGGAAUCUUCCGCAAUGGGCGAAAGCCUGACGGAGCAACGCCGCGUGAGUGAUGAAGGUCUUCGGAUCGUAAAACUCUGUUAUUAGGGAAGAACAUAUGUGUAAGUAACUGUGCACAUCUUGACGGUACCUAAUCAGAAAGCCACGGCUAACUACGUG